rnacentral:tRNA from 1 species
GCCUAGCUGGCUCAGUCGGUGGAGCAUACAGCUCUUGAUUUUGGAGUUGUAGGUUCGAGCCCCACGUUGGGUG